rnacentral:rRNA from 1 species
GACGAACGCUGGCGGCGUGCUUAACACAUGCAGGUCGAACGGAAAGGCCCUGCUUUUGUGGGGUGCUCGAGUGGCGAACGGGUGAGUAACACGUGAGUAACCUGCCCUUGACUUUGGGAUAACUUCAGGAAACUGGGGCUAAUACCGGAUAGGAGCUCCUGCUGCAUGGUGGGGGUUGGAAAGUUUCGGCGGUUGGGGAUGGACUCGCGGCUUAUCAGCUUGUUGGUGGGGUAGUGGCUUACCAAGGCUUUGACGGGUAGCCGGCCUGAGAGGGUGACCGGCCACAUUGGGACUGAGAUACGGCCCAGACUCCUACGGGAGGCAGCAGUGGGGAAUAUUGCACAAUGGGCGGAAGCCUGAUGCAGCAACGCCGCGUGCGGGAUGACGGCCUUCGGGUUGUAAACCGCCUUCGCCUGUGACGAAGCGUGAGUGACGGUAAUGGAUAAAGAAGCACCGGCUAACUACGUG